UACGUAGGGCGCAAGCGUUGUCCGGAAUUAUUGGGCGUAAAGAGCUCGUAGGUGGUCUGUUACGUCUGCUGUGAAAACCCAGGGCUUAACCCUGGGCCUGCAGUGGAUACGGGCAGACUAGAGUACUGCAGGGGAGACUGGAAUUCCUGGUGUAGCGGUGGAAUGCGCAGAUAUCAGGAGGAACACCGGUGGCGAAGGCGGGUCUCUGG
rnacentral:rRNA from 1 species